rnacentral:rRNA from 1 species
AGCGAACGCUGGCGGCAGGCCUAACACAUGCAAGUCGAACGAACUCUUCGGAGUUAGUGGCGGACGGGUGAGUAACACGUGGGAACGUGCCUUUAGGUUCGGAAUACUCAGGGAAACUUGUGCUAAUACCGAAUGUGCCCUUCGGGGGAAAGAUUUAUCGCCUUUAGAGCGGCCCGCGUCUGAUUAGCUAGUUGGUGAGGUAAAGGCUCACCAAGGCGACGAUCAGUAGCUGGUCUGAGAGGAUGAUCAGCCACAUUGGGACUGAGACACGGCCCAAACUCCUACGGGAGGCAGCAGUGGGGAAUCUUGCGCAAUGGGCGAAAGCCUGACGCAGCCAUGCCGCGUGAAUGAUGAAGGUCUUAGGAUUGUAAAAUUCUUUCACCGGGGACGAUAAUGACGGUACCCGGAGAAGAAGCCCCGGCUAACUUCGUG